rnacentral:rRNA from 1 species
GGAAUUCGCCCUUAGAGUUUGAUCCUUUCUCAGGACGAACGCUGGCGGCGUGCCUAAUACAUGCAAGUCGAGCGCGGGAAGCUUGCGGAAUCCUUCGGGAGGAAGUGAGUGGACCGAGCGGCGGACGGGUGAGUAACACGUGGGCAACCUGCCCGUAAGACGGGGAUAACCCCGGGAAACCGGGGCUAAUACCGGAUAGGUGACCUUUCUGCAUGGAGGGGUCAUGAAAGGCGGCGGAAGCCGUCGCUUACGGAGGGGCCCGCGGCGCAUUAGCUAGUUGGUGAGGGAAGGGCUCACCAAGGCGACGAUGCGUAGCCGGCCUGAGAGGGUGAACGGCCACACUGGGACUGAGACACGGCCCAGACUCCUACGGGAGGCAGCAGUAGGGAAUCUUCCGCAAUGGACGGAAGUCUGACGGAGCAACGCCGCGUGAGUGAGGAAGGCCUUCGGGUCGUAAAGCUCUGUUGUUCGUGAAGAAGGGGUUGGCCAGGAAAUGGGCCGACAUUGACGGUAGCGAACCAGAAAGCCCCGGCUAACUACGUGCCAGCAGCCGCGGUAACACGUAGGGGGCAAGCGUUGUCCGGAAUGAUUGGGCGUAAAGGGCGCGCAGGCGGCCUCUUAGGUCUGAUGUGAAAGCCCACGGCUCAACCGUGGAGGGACAUUGGAAACUGGGGGGCUUGAGUGCAGGAGAGGGGAGUGGAAUUCCACGUGUAGCGGUGAAAUGCGUAGAGAUGUGGAGGAACACCAGUGGCGAAGGCGGCUCUCUGGCCUGUGACUGACGCUGAGGCGCGAAAGCGUGGGGAGCGAACAGGAUUCGAUACCCUGGUAGUCCACG